GAUCCUGCUCAGGAUGAACGCUAGCGGCAGGCUUAACACAUGCAAGUCGAGGGGCAGCAUAAUGGAUAGCAAUAUCUAUGGUGGCGACCGGCGCACGGGUGCGUAACGCGUAUGCAACCUACCUUUAACAGGGGGAUAACACUGAGAAAUUGGUACUAAUACCCCAUAACAUCAUGAGAGGCAUCUUUUAUGGUUGAAAAUUCCUAUGGUUAGAGAUGGGCAUGCGUUGUA
rnacentral:rRNA from 1 species